rnacentral:rRNA from 1 species
CCUACGGGAGGCAGCAGUAGGGAAUCUUCCACAAUGGGCGAAAGCCUGAUGGAGCAACGCCGCGUGAGUGAUGAAGGCCUUCGGGUUGUAAAACUCUGUCAUUCGGGACGAACCGGAGUCUGAGGAAAUGCAGACUCUCUGACGGUACCGGAGGAGGAAGCCCCGGCUAACUACGUGCCAGCAGCCGCGGUAAUACGUAGGGGGCAAGCGUUGUCCGGAUUCACUGGGCGUAAAGCGCGCGCAGGCGGUGAUGUAAGUCUGAGGUGAAACCCGAAGCUCAACUUCGGGACUGCCUUGGAUACUGCGUCACUUGAGGAUAGGAGAGGCAAGGGGAAUUCCACGUGUAGCGGUGAAAUGCGUAGAGAUGUGGAGGAACACCUGUGGCGAAGGCGCCUUGCUGGCCUAUUUCUGACGCUGAGGCGCGAGAGCGUGGGAGCAAACGAGGUAUAGACUACCGUGGUAGUCCGACGCUAGUAAACGAUGAGUGCUAGGUGUAGGUGGUCUCACUACCAUCGUGUGCCGAAGCGUAACGCAUUAAGCGACGUUCCGCCGUGGGUUAGGUUACGGUCGCGAGACGAGAACGACGAAGGAAGUUAGACGGCGNGGAGNGCGAGGACGACGACGAGGGAGUUAGG